rnacentral:rRNA from 1 species
AGUGUAGCGGUGAAAUGCGUAGAUAUUAGGAAGAACACCAGUGGCGAAGGCGACUUUCUGGACGAAAACUGACGNUGAGGCGCGAAAGCCAGGGGAGCGAACGGGAUUAGAUACCCCGGUAGUCCUGGCCGUAAACGAUGGGUACUAGGUGUAGGAGGUAUCGACCCNUUCUGUGCCGGAGUUAACGCAAUAAGUACCCCGCCUGGGGAGUACGACCGCAAGGUUGAAACUCAAAGGAAUUGACGGGGGCCCGCACAAGCGGUGGAGUAUGUGGUUUAAUUCGACGCAACGCGAAGAACCUUACCAGGUCUUGACAUUGAUGGACAGAACUAGAGAUAGUUCCUCUUCUUCGGAAGCCAGAAAACAGGUGGUGCACGGUUGUCGUCAGCUCGUGUCGUGAGAUGUUGGGUUANNNNNNNCAACGAGCGCAACCCCUAUCUUAUGUUGCCAGCACGUAAAGGUGGGAACUCAUGAGAGACUGCCGCAGACAAUGCGGAGGAAGGCGGGGAUGACGUCAAAUCAUCAUGCCCCUUAUGACCUGGGCUACACACGUACUACAAUGGGAGUUAAUAGACGGAAGCGAGAUCGCGAGAUGGAGCAAACCCGAGAAACACUCUCUCAGUUCGGAUCGUAGGCUGCAACUCGCCUACGUGAAGUCGGAAUCGCUAGUAAUCGCAGGUCAGCAUACUGCGGUGAAUACGUUCCCGGGCCU